rnacentral:rRNA from 1 species
CGGGUGCACUGGUUCGGCCGGGCCUUUCCUUCUGGCAAGCCGCAUGCCCUUUACUGGGUGUGUUGGGGAACCAGGACUUUUACUUUGAAAAAAUUAUAGUGUUCAAAGCAGGCGUAUGCUCUAAUACAUUAUCAUGGAAUAAUAUAAUAGGACGUGCGGUUCUAUUUUGUUGGUUUCUCGGACCCCCCUAAUGAUUAAUAGGGAUAGUCGGGGGCGUCCGUAUUCAAUUGUCACAGGUGAAAUUCUUGGAUUUUUUGAAGACAAACUACUGCGAAAGCAUUUGCCAAGGAUGUUUUCAUUAAUCAGGAACGAAAGUUGAGGGAUCUAAAACAAUAACAUACCGUCUUAUUCUCACCCAUAAACUAUGCCGACAAGGGAUCGGGCGAUUUUCUUUUUUUGACACUCUCGGCCCCUUACGAGAAAUAAAAGUUUUUGGUUUGUGGGGGGAGUAUGGUCGCAAGGGUGAAAUUUAAAGGAAUUGGGGGAAGGGCCCCCCCGGGAGGGGAGCGUGGGGUUUUAUUUGUCUCAACAGGGGGAAACUCCCCAGGUCCAGACACAUUAAGGAUUGACAGAUUGAGAGCUCUUUUUUGAUUAUGUGGGUGGUGGUGCAUGGCCGUUCUUAGUUGGUGGAGUGAUUUGUCUGAUUAAUUGUGAUAACGAAGGAGACCUCAACCUGAUAAAUACCCCACCCUUCUUCUGCGGGUUGCUUGCUUGUUAGAGGGACUAUCGG